ACUCUCCUGCUUCUGUUGCUUGCUUCUUUUGCUUGUAUCGAUGAUUCUGGAACCAUAUUUUGACUUGUGUUGGCGUCAAGUUGAUCAUCCGUCCCAGUUGUUCCCUUUCUGGGGCUGAUAAGUAGCGCUGAUAUCUAAAUCGUCUUUCCAGUUCGUAGAUUUGGUGUUUGGUGAAGAGUACCCGUCGCUUUCUUUUCUUUGGAACAUCGCUAGACUCAUCUCUGUUGAUUUUUGGAGCUUGCUGUAGCACGUCGUUCCCUGCACAGUCUUCGUUCAUCUCAGGAUGUGGUCGAGGACCUAAUCGAACGAAAGCGGGUAAAGGCGUUUGAUGAGAUUCGAUAACACCGAUUAAGAGGUGAUUUGGUUUUAAACUACCAGCGAGGCGGAGCCGAAGUCAAUGACUCUUAUGUUAUACAAGUUUCUACUCUUUACUUAGAAAAGCUAUCGAAAGCAGCGUGAACCGAAGAGAUGACGCUCACUUACAAAGAUGACAUUUCAUGUCCUUGGUCACGAAAAUCGAAUAACAAUCUGGUGCGAGAUUCACCAUAACCUGACAGGUAAGUAAGCGCUUGUCUGUGUCAUCUGCGCUCAAAACAGACAAAUCUCAGAGGAAAUUUGUGGCAUGGAAAACAGAAUUUAGACUCAAACCCUGUACCUACCCGAAGUGUUGUCUUGGCUUUGCGGACCGGAUGGAGGCAUCGUCGUUAUUAUGCAAUUAGAUCCUGUAGAACGAUCGGGGGAGAGAUUAACACCUUGGCAAAUGUUAGGAACCCGUGGAGAAGCGUUGGAGCAGCUUUGAAGACACGAUUCCGGCAAGCUGAGGAUGUUCUUCACGGAAAAAGAAGACAUAACGCGAGCCCUGACGGACGCUACUCAAGAUGGCUGCUGGCCUAUUGACUGUACACAGAUCAAAGAGUCACAAGGACAGCUCUUUGGCGUCAUCUACUAUCGUUUUUGACAAGUGGGCAGAAUUGCGAUGACUUUGAUUUUGUCAGCGAUAGCAAAUAUCACGGAAUCAUUUCCCACGUCUUCAAGUCUUUUUUCUUCAAACCAGAACCUCGUUCAAGCUCGGUGAUCUCUCCAUAAGCUUGAGAUAAAAUCUCAGUGCAGAAAAGAACGGUUAAAUGAGAAUUUACGCCAGGGUGUUCUUCUGCUGUGGAGCUUAUGGAAUGAAAUAUGAAGUCCAUGGACAACAAUAUAUGGAACGCGUGGCAUUGGACAAGCGCAGUUGUCAACACGGAGUCAUUUAUGCCCGGUUCAGAUGAAAAACACACACUUGGGCUGUCAAACCAGUUUUAUGAACUGGGGGAAAACUAAUUAAACUUCAUGCAAACUGACCGCCAGUUUCAUUCAUGGAAAAUGAUGACACUUGACAUGCGAUUUUGUCUGCAGAGAACAAAGGUUCCAACAUUGCUUUUAUGAGCUCUCAGAUUCUUGAAGUAUUGAGACAUCAAUGUUGUGAGAAAUGCCAUUUACCUAACGUUCUAAUUUGUUCUAAUGUGCUUCCGACAGACAGACAAAAAGAAGAACGUGUUAUUGAAUAGCAAGGCUGGAUGUUCAGUUCCAUUGUGAACAGCUCCCAUGUUCUCAUAAGAAUUCUGCUACCAAAAGCAAACAAGGAAACAGAAAACUUCAUAAAGAUAUUUCAAGCGCGCCAUAAAAUACUCGCGGUAUUAUAAACAGAUAACGUGAACGCUUAAGACACUUUCUAUUUCAUAGAUAAAGCGGGGUACCAAAAGGAUAAACUUGUCAAAGGAAAUGAAUCUGUGGGUGAAAAUGUGUUCAGAGCAAAUAAAA